rnacentral:tRNA from 1 species
GCCUGGGUGGCUUGGUCCGUUAAGCGUCUGACUUCAGCUCAGGUCAUGAUCUUGCGGCUCGUGGGUUCGAGCCCCGUGUCAGGCU